UACGUAGGUGGCAAGCGUUGUCCGGAUUUACUGGGCGUAAAGAGCGCGCAGGCGGCUGAUUAAGUCGAAUGUGAAAGCCCCCGGCUCAACUGGGGAGGGUCAUUCGAUACUGAUCGACUUGAAGGCAGGAGAGGGAAGCGGAAUUCCCGGUGUAGUGGUGAAAUGCGUAGAUAUCUGGAGGAACACCGGUGGCGAAGGCGGCAUCCUGGACCGACACUGACACUGAGGAGCGAAAGCCAGGGGAGCAAACGGG
rnacentral:rRNA from 1 species